rnacentral:rRNA from 1 species
GACGAACGCUGGCGGCGUGCUUAACACAUGCAAGUCGAGCGGUAAGGCCUUUCGGGGUACACGAGCGGCGAACGGGUGAGUAACACGUGGGUGAUCUGCCCUGCACUCUGGGAUAAGCCUGGGAAACUGGGUCUAAUACUGGAUAUGACCUCAGCAUGCAUGUGCUGGGGUGGAAAGCUUUUGUGGUGCAGGAUGGGCCCGCGGCCUAUCAGCUUGUUGGUGGGGUAAUGGCCUACCAAGGCGACGACGGGUAGCCGACCUGAGAGGGUGACCGGCCACACUGGGACUGAGACACGGCCCAGACUCCUACGGGAGGCAGCAGUGGGGAAUAUUGCACAAUGGGCGGAAGCCUGAUGCAGCGACGCCGCGUGAGGGAUGAAGGCCUUCGGGUUGUAAACCUCUUUCAGCAGGGACGAAGCGUGAGUGACGGUACCUGCAGAAGAAGCACCGGCUAACUACGUGCCAGCCGCCGCAGUAAGAC